UGGGCAACCUGCCCCUCUCUCUGGGAUAACCCCCGGGGAAACCGGAGCUAAUACCGGAUACUCCGGCUGGAUCGCAUGGUCCGGCCGGGAAAGGUCCGCCGGAGAGGGAUGGGCCCGCGGCCUAUCAGCUUGUUGGUGGGUCAUGGCUCACCAAGGCGACGACGGGUAGCUGGUCUGAGAGGACGACCAGCCACACUGGAACUGAGAUACGGUCCAGACUCCGUACGGGGAGCA
rnacentral:rRNA from 1 species